UUCUGCCGUGUAUACAUGCCUGACCACUCUUAUGUGACCAUACGCAGCCGCCUUUCAGCAUCUGUGCAGGACAUUCUGGGCUCUGUGACGGAGAAACUUCAAUAUUCAGAGGAGCCCACGGGGCGUGAGGAUUCCCUCAUCCUGGUAGCUGUAUCCUCCUCCGGAGAGAAGGUCCUUCUCCAGCCCACUGAGGACUGUGUUUUCACCGCACUGGGCAUCAACAGCCACCUGUUUGCCUGUACUCGGGACAGCUAUGAGGCUCUGGUGCCCCUCCCCGAGGAGAUCCAGGUCUCCCCUGGAGACACAGAGAUCCACCGAGUGGAGCCUGAGGACGUUGCCAACCACCUAACUGCCUUCCACUGGGAGCUGUUCCGAUGUGUGCACGAGGUGGGGACCUAGGCUGGUGCUAUGCUGGGGGGCUGGAGGGAGAAAUGUGCCAUUGGGAGACGGUGUUCGCAGCACAACGUCCUGGUUCCAGGGCUCACUUGCAGCAAGCCCUUGGGCAACGCAUGGCCGUAACCUUUGUUCCUCCAUCUGAAAAAAAUCGCAAAGAGAGAGACCCCAGAGCAGAGUGGCUCAGGGCCCAAGUGCUGUUUACACAGAACCUGACCCAGGAUUUGUAUUUUUAAAAUAUUCACUAUUAAAGAAAUAAAAUAAGGCAG
rnacentral:sRNA from 1 species